UAUGACAGAUUAUAUGUAAUAGAUUUAAAACCUAUUUAUAAAGGAUNNAUCCUUUUUUUAGAAA
rnacentral:tRNA from 1 species